rnacentral:rRNA from 1 species
AUUGAACGCUGGCGGCAGGCCUAACACAUGCAAGUCGAGCGAGCGGCGGACGGGUGAGUAAUGUAUGGGGACUGCCCGAUAGAGGGGGAUAACUACUGGAAACGGUGGCUAAUACCGCAUACUCUCGGUGAACCCAUAUGGGAUUAGCUAGUAGGUGGGGAAAAGGCUCACCUAGGCGACGAUCUCUAGCUGGUCUGAGAGGAUGACCGGCCACACUGUGACUGAAACACGUCCCAGACUCCAACGGGGGCAGCAGUGGGGAAUAUUGCACAGUGGGCGCAGGCCUGAUGCAGCCAUGCCGCGUGUAUGAAGAGGGCCUUGGGGUUGUAAAGUACUUUCAGCGGGGGGGCGUUCCCCGCAGAAGAAGCACCGGCUAACUCCGUGCCAGCCGCCGGGGUAUUC